rnacentral:lncRNA from 1 species
GUAGCAGAAAAUAAAUUGCCCUGUCUAACGUGAGAAUGUGAGAAUUUGAAAUUAAAAAUUUUAAUUUGAUUUAUUUAAACAAAGUAUUUAAAGAUACAGGGAAUUUAAAUCACUUCAAAUUCUCUGAAACCUUUUAAAUUCCUCGUCCAAACACAAUAUAACAAAAAGAGACGAGGAUAAUGAUGAUGUCUAAAAAACCUAAACCAUCAAAAUAAUAAUAGAAAGAAAUAAAAUAAUGAUGGGUUUCAAAACACUUAAGCCAUCAAAACAAGGGUGUUUCUUUAUGCACCCCAUCAAAAUUCUUUCUGCACCCAUCAAAUUGGUGAAAUAACUAAAUGUUCCAUCUAAUUCACCCUCAUUUUGGAAAGUUCUUUCCAGAACAUACUCCAAAAAAGUUAUUCUAAAAAAUACAUUCUAGAAUAUAUUAUAUACAAUCCAGAAAGUUUAUUCCAAAAAAUGUUUUGAAAAACUUUCGAAAAAGAUAAUCUGAAAGUCAUUAAAAAAAGGGUAAAACAGUCUUUCUGAAAAUUAAUGGAGUACAGGAAGAAUUGUGAUGGGUGCAGAAAGAAACACUCUAAGAACAAUUCCAGAAAGAAAUAAAAACAAUGAUGGGUACUCUAAGAACAAUUCCAGAAAGAAAUAAAAACAAUGAUGGGUGCUGUUAGACUGGGCCCAUACACCAAAAAGACAGCCCAACUGGAUGAAGGACUUUAUAAUAGGAUAGACUCAUGUGUCCUUAGUAAAUGUCUGCCAUUUUAUUAUUGAAAGGUUUUUGUAAGGCCCAUGACCCUUUUUUACCCUUAUAGGGGACUAAGCAAUAGGAAAAGAGGGCAGAGAAGUUUUUGGUAACCCUAGUUUUAGAUUAACAGUAGCAAAAGCCUAACAAUUUGGUGCUUUCAUUGCUCCUACCAUGGCUCCCCAACCUCCAUCAACAGAUCUGAACGAGGCCUUAGCCAACAUCCAAACAAAUCUCACCAACAUCCAAAGCCAACUGGCCGAACACACUAGCAGACAAUCUACCUUAGAGGCUCAAAAUGACCACCUUCACUCUACAUUCACGUCCAUCCUGGACCAGGUUGCUCUAUUGACUCCAACGGAGACUAAAAUUCCACACAUAAACCAGCAAAGUAGCCAUCAUUCCAAUCACUCAAACCAGCAACCACCCAACACCCCUUCCAUACGACCACCCACACUCAACCUAUCCUUCUUUGACGGUACAAAUCCACUAGAUUGGCUUUUUCAAGCGGACCAAUAUUUCUCUUUCUAUCAAAUACCGUUGGACCAACGCAUUCCUAUGGUGGGGUUUCAUAUGCAGGGAGACGCUCUCUCAUGGUUUAAAUGGCUGCACAAUAACCACCUACUCACAGAUUGGCACUUCUUCACAAGGGCUUUGGAGCUUCGUUUUGGCCCCUCCACCUAUAUCAAUCAUCAAGUGGAGUUGUUCAAACUCCAGCAAACCACGUCGGUCACUGAAUACCAAGGCAGGUUUGAACGCUUAUGCAAUUGUGUGGUGGGUCUCACUCCUGAAACUAUACUUAAUUGUUUCAUAUCUGGUCUGAAUGUUGAAAUCCGCAGAGAACUUACUAUAUUGAACCCAUAUUCUAUUGCCCAAGCCAUAGGUCUAGCUAAGCUUAUUGAAGACAAACUCAGAGAUUCUAAACCUAAACAAAUUCGAUUUCCAGCACCUACCUAUCCCCACCCUAACCCCACUCCCUCAUUCACUAACAGAACCAGCACACCCACAACACCCCCAGCCCAUAUGUCCAUCAAACGUUUAUCCUCCUCACAAAUGCAAGAGAGACGAGCCCUAGGGUUAUGCUACAACUGUGACGAAAAAUUCUUCCCUAGCAUAAAUGCACUUCCUCUCGAUUUUUGCUUACCUAGAACUCCUAGCUGAACCCAAUGAGGAGAUUUCCCCCACACAUGACCACGCCAACACUAUCCACUUUCACCUUUCACCUCAAGCCAUAUCAGGUACUAUUUCCCCAAAAACCCUCAAAUUCACAGGUCUAAUUCAUCACCUCCCUGUUACCGUCCUCAUUGACUCGGGAAGCUCCCACAACAUUCUUCAACCACGUAUUGCCCAUCACUUAAACCUAGCCAUAUCCCCUAGCCCACCCCUCUCGGUAAUGGUUGGAAAUGGGGCGUUCAUUAAGUGCCAGGGUAUUUGUCCAUUGGUGGACAUAUCUCUCCAGAACUCUACCUUCAUUGUUCCCUUUUACCUUCUUCCGAUUGAAGGUGCGGAUGUUGUUUUGGGUGUGGAAUGGUUGAGCACGUUAGGGUCCAUCUAAGCAGAUUUCUCAAUCCCCAGCAUACAAUUUACCCACAACAACCAACAUAUUACAUUGCAAGCCCCCCACUCACCCAACCCAUCAGCUACCACUUAUCACCAAUUUUGCCACUAUCUAUCCAAUAACUCUAUUGCCUCUUUACACCUUCUAUCGGUGGACACCCAACACUGCCCCCAUACAACCUUAGCCACUACCAUUAAUAAUCUCACAUCCCCGUUAUCUCACCUACCCUCACCCAUCCAAUCCCUCCUUCAGGAAUACCAAGGUAUUUUUCAAAAACCAAGAGGGUUACCUCCACAGAGACCACAUGACCACCAUAUUCCUCUUUUACCUCAUACCCCACCAAUCAAAGUGAAACCAUACCGGUACCCACAUCACCACAAGGAAGUUAUUACAACACCGAUAUCAGAAAUGCUGCAAGAGGGCAUUAUUCAACCUAGUACAAGCCCAUUCUCUUCACCGGUGCUCUUAAUAAAAAAAAAGAUGGAACAUGGCAUUUCUGUGUGGAUUACAAAGCCUUAAAUGCAGCCACCAUUCGUGACCACUUCCCCAUUCCCACCAUUGAUGAACUGCUCGAUGAGUUAGGCUCAGCUACUGUUUUUACUAAAAUAGACCUACACUCAGGGUACCACCAAAUACUGCUUCUCCCAGAAGACACUCACAAAACAGCGUUUCGCACUAUAGACGGCCACUAUGAAUUCUUAGUGAUGCCAUUUGGUUUAACUAACGCUCCUUCUACUUUUCAAGCAGCCAUGAAUGAUCUUCUCAGACCAUACCUCCGCCGGUUUGUCUUAGUUUUUUUUGAUGAUAUUUUGAUUUAUAGUCCAAGUUUGCAGGAUCAUAUUGCUCACCUACAAACUAUAUUGGAAGUGCUACACACUCAGCAAUUUUUUGCCAAGCUUUCAAAGUGCAGUUUCGCAACUGCGGAAGUUAGUUACUUGGGUCACAUUAUUUCUGCACAGGGAGUCCAACCAGACCCAGAGAAAGUCAAAGCCAUACACGACUGGCCGCAACCACGAUCACUCACGGAAUUACGGGGGUUCCUCGACCUCACCGGAUUUUACAGGAAAUUCAUAAAGCAUUACGCCACUCUUGCCGCUCCUCUCACCGACUUAUUACAACACCACAAAUUUUCAUGGACUGAGCUCGCGCAGAAAGCAUUCGAAAAAUUAAAAUUACACAUGAAGACAAUGCCCACACUACACCUUCCAGAUUUUAAGCUGCCCUUUGUGGUCGAAACAGAUGCCUCUGCAAUGGCCAUAGGAGUCGUCCUCAGCCAAUCUGGGCAACCACUAGUUUUUUUCAGCAAAAAGAUGAAUCCCAAGCUCCAAGCUUCCUCCGUAUAUGUCCGAGAGAUGUAUGCCAUAACAGAGUCAGUAAAAAAAUGGCGUCAAUACCUCAUAGGACAACAUUUCAGAAUCAUAACAGAUCAAAAGAGCCUAAACACCCUCCUCUCCCAAACCAUUCAGACCCCAGAACAACAGAAAUGGAUUGCUAAAUUGCAGGGAUAUGAUUUUCAAAUUAUUUACCGACCUGGGAAGGAAAAUGUUGUGGUUGAUGCCCUUUCAAGGCAAGGUCAUGAUUCCUCUACCAUACUGCUUGCAGUGUCGUCCCCAAUCCCGCAGCUUAUUCAAGAACUCCAAACUUUCUUUGCCACCACAGAAGGUCAGGGAGUGGUCCAGGCGUGCACAAGCAGUCAACAACAGCCAAGCUUGUUCUUCACUAGCCACGGUUUACUGUUUUUUCGCCAUCAGAUAUUCGUGUCAGCAUCAUCUGAUUUCCGCCAGCGCAUUAUGACAGAGUUCCAUGCUUCCCCUUAUGGCGGCCAUUCCAGCAUCAAACCAACUCUCAAGCACAUAGCCGCUUCAUUCUAUUGGCCGAAAUGGACCAGAGACGUCCAUCGUUUUGUCCAACAAUGCUCCACAUGCCAAACAAAUAAGUAUAUGCCAACCAAAACUCAGGGUUUACUGCAACCAUUACCAAUUCCAAAACAAGUAUGGGAGGACAUAUCAAUGGAUUUUAUUACUCACCUUCCAGUCUCAUCCGGACACUCGGUCAUUUGGGUAUUGUGCGACAGACUCACAAAAUAUGCGCACUUCAUCGCUCUGCCCACACACUUCACGGCCCAGCAACUAGCCAAGCGUUUCUCAGUAGAAAUUUGUCGCCUCCACGGACUACCAAAAACCAUUGUCUCAGAUCGCGACCCCUUGUUUGUUAGCACUUCCUGGCAGCACCUGUUCAAAGCACAAGGAACAACGUUAAAAUUUAGCUCGUCAUACCAUCCCCAAACGGACGGUCAAACAGAGGUAUUGAACCGCGGCUUAGAGGCCUACCUGAGAUGUUUUGUGGGAAACCAACCAAACAAGUGGUACAAAUAUCUUCACUUGGCAGAACUUUGGCAUAAUACAACGUACCAUUCGGCUAUUGGAACCUCCCCGUUCCAUGCGUUGUACAGUCGACAACCACCCACAGUAGUUGACUUCUUAAGCGUCCCAAACGCUGGAACCUCCAUCCACGAGACACUGUCGGCACACACCGUCAUCCUCCACGACCUCAAGGAGCACUUGCGUCGCACACGCCAGCGCAUGUGUGACCAAGCUAAUCGCCACCGCACAGAUCGUAGUUUCGAACCAGGAGAAUGGGUGUGGGUACGACUCCAACCCUACCGGCAACACUCAUUGGAACGGUGAACACACCAAAAGCUUGGCCCGCGUUUUUCAGACCCAUACCAGGUACUACGCCGCAUCGGUGCCGUCGCAUAUGAGCUUCAACUGCCACCGUCGACGCGGGUCCACCCGGUUUUUCACGUUUCGCUGCUCAGACCUUUCAAAGGACCUGUGGGAGAACAUCAGGGUCUUCCUACCAAAUCCAAGAACUUGGCACUUCCAACACCACUUAACUCAUCUCCCAACCCAAAUCAGAACGCUCUGAACUCACCGUAUCAGGAACCCAAUGACAACACGCCAUGUGUUACACUCACAAAUCACACCGACUUAGCUGGCAUCGAGCCUCACGCUCACGUGCCCCACCAACAAGCCAUCUCCACGCCUCAUAAUCACCUCAACACGCGUUCUGAUAGAAUCAACAACAGAGCGCCACGUGUCCCACUCACUGGUGACGCGGUUUUCCCACGCCUCGAGCCCCACGCGCACCAGCAAACCCUUCCCACGCCCAUUAAUGGGCUGAACGCGCUUCCUGACGGAGCCAACAAGAGUGUGCCGCGUGUCCCACUAACUGAUGGUGCAGCUUCCCCACACCUCGAGCCGCGCGUCCCACUCACUGCUGGUGCAGCUUCCCCACGCCUCGAGCCCAACGCUAGCACUCCACGCAAUACAAACCCUAAUUCUAAAGCACCUUAAACGGCGCCACCCCCUCAAAACCCUAAAACCUUAGCACCACUCCCUACAAACCCUAAUGACUCAACAACCAAUACCCAACCCAACUCACCCUUAAUGGCCCAUCCAAUUCCUGCACCCCCGCGCCAGAUUGCAUACACCCCACCCCAUAUCCAAACCCACGAGAACCCACAACAACCCAGUCACCGUCCAACGGCCCAACUAAUUCCAAGAUCCCACUUUGAGGACAG